AGGUCUCUACAGCACAGUGAGAAAUCAUUGAGAUUGGAAAUGGUUGGCACAUGUGAAUCUUACUGCUGGAGAAGCCACCUGGUAUCUAGUCUGUGUCGGUCCCUGGACUGGAGAACAGUAGUAAUCCCUAGAAGCAGCUUGGACUCUCUGAAUGCAAAUUAAAAGAAAGCAAAGCAUCUCCUGUCCUGUGUGCACAAACAGCAAGAUGUGCAGAUAUUGAAGAAUGCAAAAAUGAAUUUGUUAAUCCCUGUUAUUUUAUGUGAAAUGAAUGAAAUGUGAUGUCUUUGUACUGACAUGGAGCUCGUAAUAAAAAAUAUGAUUUAAUAUUUGGUUUUGAACAUCUCAAAAA